rnacentral:rRNA from 1 species
CGCGACCCGAGGUCAGGCGGGGCUACCCGCUGAGUUUAAGCA